rnacentral:misc_RNA from 1 species
UGCGUCAUGUUGGACCAGGCCACAGCGACGUCUUUCGUACUGUCGUCUGCUGGCUAAUGCAGGCUACUACUGAUUCUGUUUAUGCUCAAGUAUAUCUUAUACUUGUUCUUAUUUACUUGAGAGUCAAUUAUGGUUGAUAUUAAAUCUGAGCAUGUAGUACAUUGCCGUACCUUUGACUGGAAUACAUUGCAAGUGAAUACCAACUGUGGAAAUAAUUUGCGGCAACUGCUGCACUGUUCAAAGGAGAAGCCGACACGGAGUGGAACAAGAAGCUGAACAGCAGAAGAGUGGCUCAGUGCCGCUAUGACCUCCGAGUUAUCUGUGUGGGACUUCUGUGGCUCUCCCUUGUGGGAUGCCAACCUCACUUGGUACACGGACACUCCUCAGUUCCCGCGGUGCUUUGAGCGGACUGUCUUUGCAUGGAUUCCUUGUGCCUUCUUGUGGGUGCUGGCGCCUCUGGAGACUCAUUACAUCAUCUGCAGCCGUGACAGACAUGUGCCUUGGUCUUGGGUGAACCUCUCCAAAUUGGUAGGAUCGUUGGUGCUCUUAUUACUACAGUUAAUAGACUUUGUGUAUGCACUACAUCAAUGGAGGAUUGGGCAACCAAUUUAUGCAGUCCAUUUUGUGACUCCUGCUCUUCUCUUUGUCUCAUUGUUUUUGCAGUCUGCAGUGGUCUUGGUGGAGAGGAAAAGGGGAUUUCAGAGCUCAGGCUACCUCUUUCUCUUUUGGUUACUAUGUGUAGUGUGUUUCCUGCCAGAGUAUGUGUCUCAUAUCUCUGCAGGUCCUUACCAGGAGGGUGAAGGAGUUUAUUUUGGUACCUUCAUGGUAUUCUAUCCAUUUACUGUGGGUAUGUUACUGAUCCACUGUUUUGGGGAUGCCUCACCACGCUAUGUUCAUUACCCACGAAGUCAUAAAUACUGCCCAGAAGUAAGUGCAUCAUUCCUCAGCAAAAUAACGUUCUCUUGGAUUAAUUCUCUCAUUUGGAAAGGUUACAAGCAACCUUUAGAAAAUGAUGAUCUGUGGGAUAUCUCUUAUGAAAAUGCCUCCAAUACAAUUGUGGAGAAAUGGAACAAAAGCUGGAAGAAAAACUCUGCCAAAGCCUACAAAAAAUUUUGGGACAAUUUUGGCAAAGGCCAGUCUCACACCUAUGCCACCUUUAAUAAUACUGACCAAGUGGAGUUGUCAGGUCAGGCAGGCAACAAGGAGCAUUAUCUUUCCAUUCUUCCCACCUUGGUGAAGGUGUUUUCAUCCUCUUUUUGUUUUGGAGCUUUUCUUAAGUUUCUUCAUGAUGUCCUACAGUUCCUCAGUCCUCAAAUCCUGAGUGCACUCAUCACUUUUACGGAGAGCACUGAGGAGGAAGCACCAGCUUGGCAUGGUAUUUUGUAUGCUGUGUUGAUGCUGGUGUGUGCUCAGUGUCAGUCUUUCCUACUGGGGCAGUAUUUUGCCUGGAUGAUGGUAGUUGGUCUUCAGAUGCGCACUGGAAUUAUCUCUGCUGUUUAUGGCAAGGCAAUGAGAAUUUCCAGCUCAGCCAAGAAGGAAUCCACAGUAGGGGAAAUAGUGAACUUAAUGUCUGUGGAUGCUCAGCGCUUCAUGGACAUCACCACCUACAUUAACAUGCUGUGGUCAGCACCUAUGCAGAUUAUCUUGGCCAUAUAUUUCCUAUGGAAUCUUCUUGGACCUUCUGUUCUGGCUGGAUUAGCUGUGAUGAUAGUGCUUAUCCCUAUUAAUGGAUUCAUUGCCAACAAGACAAAAAAACUUCAGAUAAAGCAGAUGAAAUUGAAAGAUGAACGUGUAAAGCUCAUGAACGAGAUCCUAAAUGGCAUAAAGGUGCUGAAACUGUAUGCCUGGGAGCCGUCAUUUGAAUCUCAAGUGACAACAGUACGGAACAAGGAGGUCAAGGUACUGAGGGAGGCAGCCUACUUCAAUGCUGGCACCAACUUUAUUUGGAAUUGUGCCCCAUUUAUGGUAUCAGUUGCCACCUUUGCUGUGUAUGUUAAUGUGUCUCCUGAUAACAUUCUGGAUGCCAAGACUGCCUUUGUCUCCCUUUCACUUUUCAACCUCCUGCGUUUUCCCUUGGCUAUGCUUCCCAUGCUGAUUACUAGUAUGGUACAGGCACAUGUCUCCUUGAAAAGAAUCAAUAAGUUUAUGAAUGCAGAUGAACUGGACACAAACAGUGUGCAGGGAGAUCCCACAUACAAGCAUCCAAUUGUGGUAGAGAAUGGAACGUUUGCCUGGGGUCAUGAGGAGGAAGAUAGCAAGCCAGUACUUAAGGGCUUGAACCUUACAGUACAGACAGGUUCCCUAGUAGCAGUAGUGGGUACCGUUGGUACAGGCAAAUCCUCCCUUUUAUCAGCCAUCCUUGGUGAAAUGGAGAAGCAGAGUGGCAGAGUAAAUGUUAAGGGCAAAGUGGCUUAUGUGGCCCAACAGGCAUGGAUUCAGAACACAACCUUAGAAAAGAACAUUCUUUUCAACCAGCCCAAAGUGGAUGAUUUGUAUGAGGCAUGCCUACAGUCAUGUGCCCUACAGAGUGACCUUGCUAUCCUCCCUGGCGGUGACCAGACUGAAAUUGGGGAAAAGGGGAUCAACCUAAGUGGAGGCCAGAAACAGAGAGUUAGUCUUGCACGAGCUAUUUACUCUGAUGCAGACAUCUUCCUGUUAGAUGAUCCCUUGAGUGCUGUGGACUCUCAUGUUGGGAAACACAUCUUUGACCACGUGAUAGGCCGUAAUGGCAUGCUGAAGAACAAGACACGUGUGUUGGUCACCCAUGGGCUAACAUACCUUCCCCAGACAGACAGGAUUAUUGUAUUGAAAGAUAAUCAGAUAAGUGAACAAGGCACAUUCAAGGAACUCUUGCAAAAAAAGGGACCAUUCCAAGAAUUUCUUCUCCAAUACCUUGCUUCAGAUUCUGAGGAGCUUGAUAACCUAGAAGAACUGGAAGAUAUCAAGCACCAGCUGGAGAGCUCCCUUGGGCGAGAUGUGAUGGAGCAACAGUUGGUGCGUGAGAAGCGGGCAAGUGAGAGUGAAAGCCUUGCAGACUCAGAUUGCAGCAAACAUGUUGUGCGUCGCCAAAGUAGUCAAAGGAUCAGUGAAUCAUCUGUUGGGAAGGAGACACAGGCCCCACCACCUAAGAAAAAAGGAGAAAAGCUCAUUGAGGCAGAAAAGACUGAGACAGGCAGAGUUCAGACUGAAGUGUAUAAGUACUACAUGAAGUCCAUUGGGAUUCCAAUACUUAUUUGGACCAUGUGCUGCUUUGUAGUUGCACAGACCUGUAUUGUGGGCUCCAGUGUGUGGCUAUCUAUUUGGUCAGAGGACACCAGCAUGGACAGCAGCAGCACAGACAUGUAUCUUGGGGUAUAUGGUGCCCUUGGUAUCGGCCAAGCACUGGGAGGCUUGCUAGGAGAUAUAUAUGCCAUGAAGUGCAUGAUGAAAGCAGCGAAAAUUAUGCACAACAAUCUCCUGUUGAAUAUGAUGCGGCUCCCUCUCAGCUUUUUUGACAAAAAUCCUGUUGGCCGCAUUACUAACAGGUUUUCAAAGGACAUGGAUGCAGUUGAUUCUGGAUUACCAUAUUAUAUUAAUGAUGUGAUCUGGUGUGCAUUGGAGGUUCUGUCAACUUUUGCAGUUAUCAUCUAUGCCACCCAUAUCUUUAUUGUGGUAAUGAUUCCUACUAUAAUCAUCUACAUCUUUAUACAGAUUGUGUAUGUGUCAACCUCAAGGCAAUUAAAGCGUUUGGAAUCUGUGUCUCGCUCUCCAAUAUACUCUCACUUCCAAGAAAGUAUUCAAGGGGCUUCUACAAUCCGGGCAUAUGGAAGGCGGGACCAGUUUAUUAAAGCCUCAGAAUUAAAAGUGGACUUAAAUCAGAUUUGUUACUAUCCAAGUGUCAUCUCAAAUAGGUGGCUCGCAACGCGUCUUGAGUUCAUUGGUAACGUGAUCACAUUCUUCGCUGCCCUGUUUGCUGUACUGAGCCGUGAGACCAUUGAUGGAGGAAAGGUUGGGCUGUCAGUCACAUAUGCACUAUCGGUGACACAAACACUCCAUUGGCUGAUAAGGAUGUCCUCAGAAGUGGAAACUAACAUUGUGGCUGUGGAAAGAAUCAAAGAGUACACUGAAACUCCACAGGAGGCACCAUGGGAUCUACCCAACACCAAGCCACAAACGGACUGGCCUCAGGAGGGAGUGGUUGAAUUCAACAACUAUAGUACCAGGUAUCGAGAAGGACUGGAUCUUGUCAUUAAAAACAUAAAUUGCAAGAUUACUAAAGGAGAGAAGAUUGGCAUUGUUGGAAGGACAGGUGCAGGAAAGUCCUCAUUGACACUUGGUCUAUUUCGUAUCAUUGAGGCUGCUGGAGGCAACAUCACCAUAGAUGGCAUCAAUAUUUCCAAAAUUGGCUUACAUGACCUACGCAGCUGUCUUACUAUAAUUCCUCAGUGUGGGUCAGAGACAACUUGUAUGCCUGGCCAGGGCUUUACUGCGCAAGACCCGUGUGCUGGUUCUGGACGAGGCUACAGCUGCUGUUGAUCUGGAAACUGAUGACCUCAUUCAGCAGACCAUUCGCCAGAAGUUUGUGGGCUGCACGGUUUUGACGAUUGCACAUCGUCUCAAUACCAUCAUGGACUAUUCCAAAGUCAUGGUUCUUGACAAGGGAGAAAUAAAAGAAUUUGAGUCACCAGGUACUCUUCUUAAGAAUAAGAAUUCUAUAUUCCAUGGAAUGGCUAAGGAUGCUGGAUUAGUCUGAUGGUAACUAUGUCCAUGAUUUUUUUAGGUAUUUGUUUUAUAAUUAUUAGGUUAGUUUUAAUAUUUGUAAUAUGUGUGUUUAAUUAUAAUUGUUCCUGAUAUGAGAGGAAAUGUUUGUGAAAGUUAUGCUACAACAUAGCAUUGCUCCAGGUUAUGAAAUUUGUGUUUGUGUGUAUCCCUGCACAUAUCCCUGUAUUUGUGAGUGAGUAAAGAUUGAUCUUCCCUCUAAUCUCAAGUGGCCUAGAUGCUAAGAUGUUGGAGAAUGCUUGUGAAUGUGAUUGUGUGUCAGUGUGUGCUUGUGGUCACAUUUUCUCAGCCGUCUUCCUUUGUAAUGAAUAUUACCUUAAUACAUUCAAAUUUUGUCUUAACGCAACAAAAGUGAAGACAUGAUAUUCAUAAAUUUUGCAGGCAGAUACUGAAGUGGGCUUUCAUUAAAGUUAUUGGAAAAAUUCAUUCAUAUAUAUAGAAUACAAUGAUAGACUUAAUCCAUGAAUACUUCUUGAGUGUCACACAUAUAUAUAUAUAUAUAUAUAUAUA